rnacentral:rRNA from 1 species
AUUGAACGCUGGCGGCAGGCCUAACACAUGCAAGUCGGACGGUAGCACAGAGGAGCUUGCUCCUCGGGUGACGAGUGGCGGACGGGUGAGUAAUGUCUGGGGAUCUGCCCGAUAGAGGGGGAUAACCACUGGAAACGGUGGCUAAUACCGCAUAACGUCGCAAGACCAAAGAGGGGGACCUUCGGGCCUCUCACUAUCGGAUGAACCCAGAUGGGAUUAGCUAGUAGGCGGGGUAAUGGCCCACCUAGGCGACGAUCCCUAGCUGGUCUGGGAGGAUGACCAGCCACACUGGAACGGAGACACGGUCCAUACUCCUACGGGAGGCAGCAGUGGGGAAUAUUGCACAAUGGGCGCAAGCCUGAUGCAUCCAUGCCGCGUGUAUGAAGAAGGCCUUCGGGUUGUAAAGUACUUUCAGCGGGGAGGAAGGCGAUGUGGUUAAUAACCUUGUCGAUUGACGUUACCCGCAGAAGAAGCACCGGCUAACUCCGUGCCAGCAGCCGCGGUAA